rnacentral:lncRNA from 1 species
UUUUUUUUUUUUUUUUUAAGAGACAGGGUUUCAUUCUGUCGCCCGGUCUGGAGUACAGUGACACACUCAUGGCUUGCUGCAGCUUCGACCUCCUGGGCUCAAGCAAUCUUCCUGCAGCUGGGAAUACAGGUGUGCACCACCACACCCUGCCAACUAUACAUCCAUCACCACCCUAUCCUCUCAGCCCCCAAAGUCAUGAGGCUUUGGUUAGGUGUCAGGAUGUUUUCAAAUGAAAAUUAAUGAAAACGGCGGGCCCAGUGGCUCAUGCCUGUAAUCCUAGCACUUUGGGAGGCCGAGGUGGACAAAUCACCCGAGUUCAGGAGUUCGAGACCAGCCUGGCCAGCAUGGUGAAACCCCGUCUCUACUGAAAAUAUAAAAAUUAGCCGGGGGUGGUGAUAGGCGCCUGUAAUCCCAGCUACUCGGGAGGCUGAGACAGGAGAAUUCCUUGAACUCGGGGGUCAGAGGUUGCAGUGAGAUUGCACCACUGCCCUCCAGCCUGGACGACCGAGUGAGACUCCAUCUCAAAACAAAACAAAUCAAAGGUAGCUCUUGAAACAACCAAAACAAAGUUAAAGUUGUAAAGAAUGGAAAGUCCUUAGCAUUGAUCAGAAUUAAUCUUUGACGGGGUGAGGUGGUUCAUGCCUAUAAUCACAGCACUUUGGGAGGCUAAGGUGGGAGGAUCAUUUGAGCGCAAUUUGAGACCAGCCCAGGCAACAUAGUGAGAUCUCAUUUCUACUGGAAAUCAAAAAAUUAGCCAGACAUGGUGGCACCUGCCUAUAAUCCUGGCUACUCAGGAGGCAGAAGUGGGAAGAUUCUUUGAGUCUGGGAGGUUGAGGCUAUGGUGAGCUAGGAUGGCACCACUGCACUCCAGCCUGAGCAGCAGAGUGAGACCCUGUCUCAAAAAAAAGAAAAAAAAAUUCUCAGUCUUCUCCCCUAAGCCUUCUCCCCUGCCACAGCCUUCCUCAAGUACACUGAAAACAAACAUCCUGUACAUUGUUUGGGUCAAAUACUGGCUUUAUCCUUGAUGCCUCACUUUCUUUCAUAUCCCAUAGUCAGUUGGUCUGGAAAAAAAAUAGAAGUUUCCCCAGAAUAAAAAAAAAAUCCCAAAGUUGGUUGGGCUUGGUGAUAUAUGUUAUUAGGAGUCUAGGUUUUCUCAGUCUGCAGCAUCAGCUUCAGUAAAGGCUGAUUCUCCUCAUGGUCACAAAGUGGCUGCCACCACUCACUGAGGCACUGUCUCCUCUGGGGAGAAGGAGGAGCUGCUCACCCUCAUCAGCCCAGAGUAAGCCCUGCCUUGCAUCUCAUUGGCCCACUGGCUCAGGCCCAGUCAAUCACUGGCAAAUGGGGAUGGAAUUAGCAGCACUGACUGAGCUCAGUGGUUCUCAAAAGUGUGGUCCCAGGGCCAGCAGCACUGGCCUCACCUGGGAAUUUGUUAGAACUGCACAUCCGGCCGGGCGCGGUGGCUCACGCUUGUAAUCCCAGCACUUUGGGAGGCCGAGGCAGGUGGAUCACCUAAGGUUGGGAGUUCAAGACCAGCCUGACCAACAUGGAGAAACCCCGUCUCUACUAAAAAUACAAAAUUAGCCGGGGUGAUGGCACAUGCCUGUAAUCCCAGCUACUCGGGAGGCUGAGGCAGGAGAAUCGCUUGAACCUGGGAGGCGGAG